UAGUAAUGGCAGGUCAGCAUACUGCCGUGAAUACGUUCCCGGGCCUUGUACACACCGCCCGUCACACCAUGAGAGUUGGGAAUACCCGAAGCCUGUGAGCUAACUUUUAGAGGCAGCAGUCGAAGGUAGAACCAAUGAUUGGGGUGAAGUCGUAACAAGGUACC
rnacentral:rRNA from 1 species